UCCUGAAUCUAAAUAAAGAUGGCUUUUUAGUAUUAAAAGUGGAAGAAAAUUACAGGUAAUUAUCUUUGACGGUAAAAACGCUGUAAUCAGCGGGCUACAUGAAAAAUUACUCUAAUUAUGGCUGCAUUUAAGAGAAUGGAAAAAAACCUUCUUGUGGAUAAAAACCUUAAAUUGUCCCCAAUGUCUGCUUCAAAUUGGAUGGCACUGCAGCUGGAGGCUUUGUUCAGAAUUGAUCCUGGGGAGCUCUGAACCCAAAGUUUCACAGUGGGAAGGGGAAAAAAAGAAAAGAAAACAUUUUUCCUAAUGUAACAAUACGAAUGGUAGAAAAUGACAAGACUGAUCGGUUUUAAACCACUCUGAAGACUGACUGAGCGUGGAAGUUGCUCAAAAAAAAAACAAAAAAACACCCCCCAAAAAACUGGUAUAUUGCGAAUACCUGCUCUCCCUGGAACAUGUUGUCUGGCAGCAACACCUACAUGUAGCACAAGAACUUUUCUGGGAGUUACUCAACAAUAUCUUAUCACUUGUUGCAUAUGGAGAAACAGGAUCUGGCAAAACCAUGGAGUUCUCCUGACGAAGUCUUGCCAACAUGCCUCAGCUGAAACUGGAAGGGCUCACUGGACAGUCCCAGUUCAUUCCCAUGUCCAUUUUCUCCUGGUUACACCCACCAGAAGACAGUGACAAUUGAUUGCAAUUAGAGAGGAAAAGCGCUGUUGUUUUUGACACUAGGCUGGACUCCGGAGAUGUUCUGUCUCUGGGUGUGUCUCAAACUGCUGGGUGACCUCGGACUUCUUUCCUGAGGCCUAAGCUCUUUGUGGAUUACUUCAGUGGUCUUUUUAAUAUCAAAAAGAAAACUAAAGUUUUCAGAGACCGGACAUCGCAGUGAUCCUACAUCUAAACAAUGGUGUGUCUGAAGUUAAACCAACAUUGUAAUCCAACUUCCCCAAAAAUUUCAGAGCUCAUUGUAAAAUGCUAUUUAGCUGUAAAAGCAGCAAUAGAGCUUUUUGUCCUAACCAUGCAAAAGCAAACAGACAGAUUCUGCUUUUGGUCAAAAACUAAACAUUGUUUCGAAUGGAUUUACUCUCUGUUUUUGCUAAUGUAACUGGCCUAGCAAGUUUCUGGAAGAUAAAGUAUGCUACAAAAUGGAAGAGGGGAGGAUGCUAACAGUUAUUAGUUGUUAUAUGAUAGAACCAGAAAAUAUCUGAAGAUAUAUUGUGGUCCUAAUUAUUUUAAAAAUAACACUGAGGCACAUAUGGAGUUCAAAGCAUAUAUAGUGGCAGUAUUUUCAUGAUUAUUCUAUUGAUAUUUACUAAACUGAGAUGAAUUCAAUUUCUUCACUCUAUUUUACCUCAGAUUUGUAUCUAACAACUAAGGGCUUCUUUCUGUUCAGCAACUUGCAGUUUUGCAAGACAAAUUGUAUUUUAGACAUUACUGCACUUUCUAAAUGUUUGAUAAAACUUUUGUUUCAUAAUAUCCCUUAAGGUAAAAUUAAACAAUGACAAUCCACCUCCUUAGAAGACAGUUCUUAACAAGCAAUUUUCUUAAUGAGACAUACCACAGGCAGACAAGGAAAUGUUGCCUCUGGUAAAUUUGCAUACAUUCAUACUCAUAGAAUAUGAUCAAUUUGUCUGCUUAUGCAGCUUUACACUAUCUGCAGUUAUAAUAUAUAAAAAAAAUCAUUUUGGCUAAAGCAUUUCUUCCUCUUGGAUUUAAGAGAUCAUAAAAUAUAUCCGGUAUAUCCCUGGAAAGUUUGUUUCAACUCAUAAAUAUCUUUAUUGUUAGAAAGACACUUUACUUUCAGUCUGUCUGGUCUAGGUUUCCAGGCCAUGGUUUUCCUGCUAGAUGGAAGGAUCCUUUCUUACUUGGUAUUUCCCUGCUGUGAAUGUGCUAUGUGUACAGCUCAUCUCUUCCCAUCUUCCUCCUGAUAAAAUCAACAUGGAACUCUGCAUUUUAGUUGGAUUUUCAUUCACUGCAAGGAAUUCUUCUUUGAAUAACUUUAUGGUUCUUGCCUGUACCGUUCCUGGUUUCUGUUUGACUGUCCAGUUCUCAUCAUUGUAUGCCAUCCUGCCAAACUCAUGUCAUUCAAAGAUUGUGUUUAGGACACGUUUACAAGACCAUUGGUGCAGGUGCUAAGGAGUAUGAAGCCUCAUACAGAAGUCAAGGAAACAUUGAGAACAUUCAUUCAAUUACAAAUCCCAGCUGAUGCCUACUUUUUUUAGAUCUGUCAGACAAUCUUUAUUGAAUUUGAUAUGUGGUUUAUUGCUAUUACAAAAUGCUAAAAUCAUAACAGUAUGUCAGUUCACGUGAAUAUUAAUUUAACCCUUCCAGGGAAUCCUUGUUCCUUCUGUACUGCUGUAGUAGCAGAGUGCCUUCCACUUAGAUAGCAUUAAAAGAGUCCCACUGAAGACACUUGAUAGUAUACCUGGCAUUUUCUCUCUGUCAGGAUUUAACAUCAAAUAGUUUAUUUGACUACUGUGCACAUUUUGUUACUGGUUGAAUAACUACUUGAUUAAGCUGAUAUCAAUAAAGAAUCUGCUGGUGUAAACGCUUAACUUCAUAUAUCCACUGUGAGUUACCUUCCAGUCUUCACUUUGAUUUGUACUAAAUAUUAUAGUAUACAUCCAGAAAGCAUAACAAGAAAAGCCAUUAAUGACACACACACUAAGACAGUUUUACAUUUGAAACUGGGACUCCGAAAUUCAAAGCAGUUCAGUGUCUCAUGCUAAAAGCUGAUCCAUUGUAAGUGCUAAAACCAGAAUAUGUACUAUUGAAAUCAGGAACCUAUGUUGUUGGUAUUCUUCAAGUUGCAUAAUUGAAUGAGACGUGCGUAACCAAUUUAACUAUAAUGCAGUGACAGGGAAAUUAGCUUCUAGAGGCUUUCACUAUUCAGUAUGUUUAAUGUACCUAGAGCCCUGAAAUACAUGUAUUUAUUACCAAAUCCUGUGGAUAAACAGAAGUAAAUAGGCCCUGAAUAAACCUGGUGCUAACAAUAUUCUGUGGUUGGCAUUCAAGUUAAGUUGUUUUCAGUGCAACUACUGUGGAUUAUUUAUACCUAAAGUCUGAAAGACAUUAAAUAUAAGGCUAAGCAAUGUCCUAUAGCUUAUAUAUAUGAAUACUAGCAGCAUUUAAAGCAUAAAUAUGCCUAAGCAAUUAGUAUAACAGUGUUAGGUAAGUGCAAAAGGAACUGAGAGGAGUUAGAUGUUCACAAGGUAAGGGUCUGUGUGUGUCUGUGGGCUUGCCAGGACUAUUGUAGGUUUUCUGUACUUCAGAUUCAGUAGAGGGGGUGAGGAAUCAUUAUGGUAUCUCUGAGUGCAAGACUUCUUCAUUUGUGUCAGAUUUGAUUGUUUUGGUUUGAGUUUUUUUCCACGGCUCUGGCAGCUCCUCUGUAGCUACUCACCUGAAGAAGACGUGAUUUCAUCAAAAACAACAGGGUAAAUUAGGACAAAGUCUAUGAAAAAUGGUGUUUUAGUGUAAAAGGAAUUUUGGUUGUGGACAAAAUUCUUCAUUCUGUUAAGAAAGAAAUUAUUUUUUGACUGCAGCAACCUUAAAACUGAACAUCAGGCAGAUCAAAUGACUCCUGAAUUCUGGAGAGAAUGAAUACUCUUCAACUAUAAAAAUAUGUAGAGAUAUUAUUGCAAUAACUUGGGAUAUUGACUACACAUCAGAGAAUGGCUCUUUAUAGUUCUCUUCCAGAUCACUAGUAUGAAAGGGGAUUCUAAAACAGAAAUGUCUCCACCUCCCACAAGCAGUAAUUAAAAAUCCCAAAUAAGCAGUUGACUGAAUUUAGUGUUCACAUACAUGUGCCAUUUCCCAUUUAUAAUCAACGACAAACUUCUGUAUACACCCCAGGGCAAUGUUUGGCUCAUCAUAUGUAACACUUUAACGUUAAUUUAGGAUGACUAAUAUUCAGGUCAGCAGCCAUGUAAUAUUUGUUAAUUCUUUUUUUCCACUGCUUAACUUUAUAUUAUUUUUAAAUUUACAGCUGCCAUGGAAAAUGACCAGAAAUCUACUAUCUGAGAAAACCCAUCCAUCAUCUUGAGGCAAUCUUCCAAUCUGUUAACUUUAGCUGCUACUAAUAAGUGUCUCAGUCCAGGAAAAGCAAUUAUUACGAUGUUUCACAGAAUAACUUCCAGACAGCACAUGAUGUAAACUGUUCUUGGGCAGCAUUUCUUCUAAGGAAACAGGCUUUUUAUUUUUUUCCUCAGUAAGCAACUUUACCAAUGCAAUUGUGACAAAAACAGAGGUAAAGAGGAAGAGCUGUUGGAAAUGGGGGUUGACCAUGGCUACUGUGCCUAUUUACACCAUCCAAAGACUUGGAUCAUGAUGCUUUGCAAAGCCUUUGUUAUGGGUUUGAUCAGUGUGCAGACUCAGUAAGGAGUGAUUGAGAUACAGUCACUAAUGUGUUACAUCACAUAGAGCCAAAUCAGGCAACCUGGUUUGACUGCAGGUUCACACCCAGAGAGUGAUGUCUCGCCUACUACGUAACCUGGAAUGAAAAACAAGCCAAGCUCAGUGUGUUAGCAUCUCUAUUUUGAUUAUUGCUAUUUUGAGGCCCUUAAUGAAAAUGCAACAUCAUUGCAGACUGCUGCUUGCAGUCAGUAGCCUGAUCAGUAUGCUUGCACGUGGCAGUCAUUUGCAUUUUUCAGUGCUGUCUCCAGAGCACAAGGACAAGCUGCUGUGGAAGGGGAAGGUACCACUGGUAAGCAUCACUGUGAAGGUGUUCACUGGCCUGGAGAAACGAGACCUCUCCAAGGUAAUCAUGGAACAUUAUUAGGUGGCUUAGGUGGAUAUCUUGUCACAGGAUGAACUCAGAUGAGCCCCCAGUGCAGAAAGCUUCCUGUUAGAAAAGGGGAAACCAAAGCAGGAGAGGGUCAAAGGAGCACUGCAUGGUUUAUCUAUGACUACCUUCACUGUAGCCUGAUUUCUGUAACAAGGGACCUCUGUUAAGGGGCUGGGGAAGGAAAUUUGACAACUCCUCUAUGACAAUAAACAUACACUGGCAAAGCUAUACUUUAUGAUCUUAGAGUCAAUACAUUUAGGAUCAGUCAGAUAAUCAUAUGGUGGCAUCUCACUAAGCCUCUCUGAUUAUUUGAGGGACUGGUUCAAAAGUUUCUCAUGGCUCGUUCCUGGCUGUUCUUCACAUGUCCUUGUAAGAAGAUGUCAGCUUGUGACUAAUUUUCAGUCUACCUCUGCUAGACUCCGUGAUCUUGAAGGCUGUUGAUAGCAGACAGCAUUCAGUAUUUUUCCAGACACCCACCUACCUCAUCAGACUAAAUGACUCGUCUUUUCAAUUCUACUUCUGUAGUGUGUUAUAGAUUGUUUUGGUGUGUUUGGAUUUCUGGUUGAGGACUUGCUUUCUAAUCCUUGAAGAAUUGGAUACUAAGAGGAAAGCAUGGUCUGGAUUCCUUGUGAAAAUUUCAUAUUAUUGUGCUAGACCAUUUUGCACAAUAGCUAAUCCAAACCUAGAUACCCAUUUACUUUGUAAGCAAAAAUUUGGUCUUAAGUACCAUUAUUAAGCUGUUUUCUAGGAGAAAUGAGUCCAUGGGACUAUGGUACAUGUAGAAUCUUUGUUUUGCAAUUGGUUCCUUUCAUGACUAAAUUAAUCAGACACAUAUACAAUAAGGUUAGAAAGCAUAAUUUGCCUGGCUUAAAAGGAGCUGUUCAGUACAUCAAGGUGCUUACUUUAAUUCAUCAAAGCUGUUUUGGCCUGCAGAAAUGCAUACAUGCAAACAUAUAUAUAUAUUCUUAAAAUAUAUUUAGGCAUUCAGUCGUGUCCAUAUAUACAUCUCUUCUGUAUAUUUUUGGAUACAAUUUGGAAAUUAUUUUUUCCCUAGAAAUACAUAAAAUUCCUUCUUAUAUAUGCAGCCACAUACAUGAACACAUGAUCAUCAUCAAUACGUUGUCUUGCCUUUAAUUAUUGGAGACUGAGACAUGUCAGCAAACAAUCUGGGUUUGACAUCUAAGAAAAGGCAAGAAUACAAUGCUGAAAGAUCAGCAGUUGGUUGGCCCCUUGGACAUUCUUGGCCCCUUUCACACCCUGCAAAUAAAUGCCUGAAAAGCUGAUUUUGCCAUAAGCUGUGGGAGCUGAUCAGAGUUCUGUUAUAGGAAAGUCUAUAUUCUUUGUACAAUUCAUAGGUGGUUUAAAAUAUUCACCAACUUAGUUAAGUGUUUGUUCUCCUGGGUAGUAGUUCUACUGUAGUGAGACGGAAAGUGUUAAAAUUACUUUCCUUGGGAUAGGGCAUAAUGAGAACUUCUGCCCUCUUUUUUUUUAAUUUAAUUUUUUUUUCUUCAUGGGAAAUGUUUUUGGGCAUUACUGAUGUAACAGGAAAUGGUACCUUCUUGAUCCCUGACAGCAUUAUGCUAUCUGUAAUGAUGAGAAAGGUGAAAAUAAAAAUGACAUUUCCUAUUUGGCAGACGUUCUGUAGCACUAACAGGAAGUCCAAGAGUCAGACAGUUUCAAGAAUAAAAAUUAUUAUAGUCCUAGUGAACUGAAAAAGUGCUACUUCUCUCUGUGCAUUUUAGCAGAAGAUUCUUUUUAAUUAAAGAGGUAAAUUAAGAUAUCAAAUUUGAAGUCAUCCUUUGCCAUCAGUUCAAAAACAGAAAUCAUCAUUUCUUUCCUAGAAACAUCCAUUUUCACUGACAGUGACUCUGGCCUUUCUGGUGUCACUCUGUUAUGUUAUUUCACAGCAAUGUGCUCAGCCUCUAAAGUACAAACCAUUAAUGCAUAUAUUUCCUUUUCAUCCAGAUAUUCAUUUUCUUGUAUAAGACAGCCUUGUUCCCUAAAUCUUUCCAGACCUAUCACUCAGUUUAUGUGCACAUAAACUUUGACGGUUCUGUGUUUCUUCCUUAAGCAAAAAGUCAGAGGAAAUAAAAAGGAAUUCUUAUGUCUAAGUAUUUGAAAAUUACUCUGGUCUAGAUGCCACUAAAGCACAAAUGUAAGAGUACAUACUAAAAAAAAAAAUUCCUUGAUGCAGAAUGCAACAUUCCAGACACACCAGAUUGUAUUCAAAUUCAUACAACCCUUUUGUCUGAGUAAUGUACUCUCCUGAGAGGUAAGGGAAAAUGGGUGACAUUUUUUCAGUUCUGUAUUUUGCAACUUAUUGAGGUCCUCAAAUUCAUAUUUCCUUACGUUCUUUCUUUGUACUCACUGUGUUUAUCAGAAGACAUGCAUGAAUGAGAAUAUAUCUGAAAUCUGCAUUGCUUUUGGGGCCUGGUUCAAACAGGAUUAGGAGCCACAGAAGGAUCUCACCAAAGGUUUUCAUGACUUCUAGUCACAUCAUUAAUGCAGAAUACUUUUUGAAUAUUUUGGUCUUCUUCCUUCCAUAUGAAGAGAAAUAGUGAUCCUGCCUUUGAAAAAUAUUUUGAAAUUGCCAGGGAUGCAGAUAGUAAUCACUGUUAUACCACUUUAUAAACAGUGAGAAAUGAAAUACCGUUUAACAGAAAGACCAUGUUUUAUUAUAUUUACAACAAUAGAACUGGAAUAUAACCUUUUUAUUUAAAAAUCAAGCCACAGAUUAAGUUUUGAUUGAAGUAUUUUGUACUGAAAAUAAGAAUAAUGAAAGCAAUUAAGUAUUCGUAGUCCUGCUCUCACACAAACACCUUCCAUGGUGAGCCUGUUUAUGCAACCAAGUGUGCCAUACAAUUGCUUUUAUUACCUUCUUAUAAAACAGCCUGUAUAAAACACUUUUUUUGAUUGUUUCUUUGUGUAUUGUUGAGUAUGUUUGCAUUCUAAAGGGCUUUGCCUCAUUAAAGUAAUUACCAUAAA